UACGUAGGGUGCGAGCGUUAAUCGGAAUUACUGGGCGUAAAGCGUGCGUAGGCGGUUCGCUGUGUCCGAUGUGGAAGCCCCCGGGCUUAACCUGGGAAUGGCAUUGGAAACUGGCGGGGCUUGAUGCGGCAGAGGGGGGUGGAAUUCCGGCGUGUAGCAGUGAAAUGCGUAGAGAUGCGGAGGAACACCGAUGGCGAAGGCAGCCCCCUGGGUCGACACUGACGCUCAGGCACGAAAGCGUGGGGAGCAAACAGG
rnacentral:rRNA from 1 species